rnacentral:rRNA from 1 species
AUGGCCUCGGCGUCGCGCGCGCUCCUUCUGUCCCGGUUCUCGCCCCUCCCCGCCGCCGCCUCCCACUCCCUCCGCCCACUCGCCGCCGCGGGGAGCCUCCUCCCGGCGCCGCUGAUCCCGUCCCCGGCCGCGGCGGCCAGGCGGUUCGCGACCAACCGCCCGCCCAAGGAGACGAUCCUCCUCGACGGGUGCGACUUCGAGCACUGGCUCGUCGUCAUGGAGCCACCCCCAGGCGAGGGCGCCAACCCCGACAUUCCCCGCGACGAGAUCAUCGACAGCUACAUCAAGACCCCCGCUCAGGUCGUCGGAAGUGAAGAAGAAGCAAGGAUGAAGAUCUACUCUGUGUCAACUCGGCAUUAUUUUGCUUUUGGAGCCCUAGUAUCUGAGGAACUCUCCUAUAAACUUAAAGAGUUGCCUAAGGUCCGCUGGGUCCUUCCUGAUUCAUACCUGGAUGUCAGAAACAAGGACUAUGGAGGGGAACCAUUUAUUGAUGGGCAAGCUGUUCCAUACGAUCCCAAAUACCAUGAGGAAUGGGUGAUUAACAAUCGUCGUGCUAAUGAACCCCGGCACAAACGCGGCGACAGACCUCGCAACUUUGACAAGAGAAGGGAGAACACAUAUCAAAGCAGGCCUGCUCCACCAAGUUACCAGUCUCCCCGACCACCAUCCCAAGAGCAAAACCAAAUGCCACCCCGCGACGCUUCUCCAGUGCGCCCUACACAGGGGCCGCCACCACCAAAUUACCAGCCCCAUGCAGCAAACCGGCAAUCAGGCUAUGUUCCAGCAGGGGGACCAAACUAUCAGAACACGUCACACCCUGGAUACCAAGGUGCCCCAACUCCUGGGUACCAAGCUGGUAACCAUGGUGGCAACAUGCACGGCGUUGGUCCUAGCUAUGGUGGUGGUGCACAAGGAUACCAAAACAUAGGCUACCAGGAGGGCAGUGGCAACUACAACAAUGCCGCACCACCGACCUAUGUGGGCAGGGACGGGCCAGGGAGGCAUUACCAAUAG